GCCAACACUUGUUAUUUCUUGUCUUCAUGAUGACAGCCAUUCUGACAGCUUUCCCGGAGAUGCUGUCAUCAUGCUCAUGACCAAUUCUGCAUUCCUGCCGGGGAGAAGGAACAAAAGAAGGGAAGAGGUGCUCCUUCUCUUUAAGGGCACAAACUCAGCAGACCUAUGAACUGCAAUGGAGAAAGUUAAAAGAUCAGGAGAUAUGGUCAUCAAGGAUAAGCUUGGGUUAUCAUCCCAUAGCAAUCAAUACUCUUCAGCUGGCCGGCUCCUGCUCAUUCUUUAGGUCUAGGUAAAUGUUACACACUCUUAUUCUCUUUCAU